GACGAACGCUGGCGGCGUGCUUAACACAUGCAAGUCGAACGGAAAGGCCCUGCUUUUGUGGGGUGCUCGAGUGGCGAACGGGUGAGUAACACGUGAGUAACCUGCCCUUGACUUUGGGAUAACUUCAGGAAACUGGGGCUAAUACCGGAUAGGAGCUCCUGCUGCAUGGUGGGGGUUGGAAAGUUUCGGCGGUUGGGGAUGGACUCGCGGCUUAUCAGCUUGUUGGUGGGGUAGUGGCUUACCAAGGCUUUGACGGGUAGCCGACCUGAGAGGGUGACCGGCCACAUUGGGACUGAGAUACGGCCAGACUCCUACGGGAGGCAGCAGUGGGGAAUAUUGCACAAUGGGCGGAAGCCUGAUGCAGCAACGCCGCGUGCGGGAUGACGGCCUUCGGGUUGUAAACCGCUUUCGCCUGUGACGAAGCGUGAGUGACGGUAAUGGGUAAAGAAGCACCGGCUAACUACGUGCCAGCAGCCGCGGUGAUACGUAGGGUGCGAGCGUUGUCCGGAUUUAUUGGGCGUAAAGGGCUCGUAGGUGGUUGAUCGCGUCGGAAGUGUAAUCUUGGGGCUUAACCCUGAGCGUGCUUUCGAUACGGGUUGACUUGAGGAAGGUAGGGGAGAAUGGAAUUCCUGGUGGAGCGGUGGAGUGCGCAGAUAUCAGGAGGAACACCAGUGGCGAAGGCGGUUCUCUGGGCCUUUCCUGACGCUGAGGAGCGAAAGCGUGGGGAGCGAACAGGCUUAGAUACCCUGGUAGUCCACGCUGUAAACGGUGGGUACUAGGUGUGGGGUCCAUUCCACGGGUUCCGUGCCGUAGCUAACGCUUUAAGUACCCCGCCUGGGGAGUACGGCCGCAAGGCUAAAACUCAAAGGAAUUGACGGGGCCCCGCACAAGCGGCGGAGCAUGCGGAUUAAUUCGAUGCAACGCGUAGAACCUUACCUGGGUUUGACAUGGAUCGGGAGCGCUCAGAGAUGGGUGUGCCUCUUUUGGGGUCGGUUCACAGGUGGUGCAUGGCUGUCGUCAGCUCGUGUCGUGAGAUGUUGGGUUAAGUCCCGCAACGAGCGCAACCCUUGUUCACUGUUGCCAGCACGUUAUGGUGGGGACUCAGUGGAGACCGCCGGGGUCAACUCGGAGGAAGGUGGGGAUGACGUCAAGUCAUCAUGCCCCUUAUGUCCAGGGCUUCACGCAUGCUACAAUGGCUGGUACAGAGAGUGGCGAGCCUGUGAGGGUGAGCGAAUCUCGGAAAGCCGGUCUCAGUUCGGAUUGGGGUCUGCAACUCGACCUCAUGAAGUCGGAGUCGCUAGUAAUCGCAGAUCAGCAACGCUGCGGUGAAUACGUUCCCGGG
rnacentral:rRNA from 1 species